CCUACGGGUGGCAGCAGUGAGGAAUAUUGGUCAAUGGACGAGAGUCUGAACCAGCCAAGUAGCGUGAAGGAUGACUGCCCUAUGGGUUGUAAACCUCUUUUGUCUGGGAACAAAAUGUUCCACGUGUGGCAUUUUGUGUGUACCAUAUGAAUAAGGAUCGGCUAACUCCGUGCCAGCAGCCGCGGUAAUACGGAGGAUCCGAGCGUUAUCCGGAUUUAUUGGGUUUAAAGGGAGCGCAGGUGGGUUGUUAAGUCAGUUGUGAAAGUUUGCGGGUCAACCGUAACAUUGCAGUUGAAACUGGCAGUCUUGAGUACAGUAGAGGUGAGCGGAAUUGGUGGUGUAGCGGUGAAAUGCUUAGAUAUCACGAAGAACUCCGAUUGCGAAGGCAGCACAAUGGCCUGCAACGGACACUGAGGCUCGAAAGUGUGGGUAUCAAACAGGAUUAGAAACCCUUGGAGUC
rnacentral:rRNA from 1 species